GUCUGUUAGUGUGUGGAUGGUGUUCAGCACCUUAAGACAGGUGUGUUUGUGUCUGGCUUGUGUUCAGCACCAAGGACAGGUGUGUUUGUGU
rnacentral:pre_miRNA from 1 species